CCUCAUCAUUAGGGGUGCCUUGUUUAAAUAAACACAAAAACAGGCUGAGAACAUACCCAUUUUGAGGCAGAGGGUAAAAGGUGAAAGGUAAAAGGUUGUGCAUGAUGCAAAGACCUUAAGCCCUAAACCUUAAAACCCUAAACCUUAAAAGCACCUGAUCCGGGUAAUGCCGGCGUAGGGAUUGGAGUUAUGGAAGUU
rnacentral:ncRNA from 1 species